AUAAGACAAUUCUGGUGAGGAAUUCCCGUCACCAUGAGUGCUGUGGUCACAGCCAGUACGACACUGAGACUCAGUGCUGCUGUUCAAAUGAGGAGAAGAUGGAAAUACAAUCGAAGGAUUCAUCCUGCUGUGUCAGGAAUUUCACUCCAGGCCUUUCAAGUGGAAAUACCACCUUCAACAAACCUUCACCAAAGCAUGGAUAUUGUGGUGAAGAGAUUUACGAUAUGGAAAAUAAGUUGUGUUGUGGUCCAAAUAAUGAUAAAAAGAUCCUGACAAGGAAAUCCAGAGAUCAUGUGUGCUGUCAUCAUGGCCAGUUCAACGUCAAAACUGAGUGCUGCUGUUAUA